CCUACAUUGAAGGUGGUGAGUCACUGGAACAGGUUGCCCAGAGAUGUGAUGAAAGUCCUGUCCCUGGAGACAUUCAAGACCAGGCUGGACAGGGCACUGAGCAACCUGAUCUAGCUGUGGGUGUCCCUGUUCAUUGCGGGUGACUGGGGUAAGGCACUACUGUGAGAUGAUCUGAUAUUGAUUAAACUUGGUAAGAGUCAUACUUCUACAAUGUUUCAUAUCUAGGUACAUAGAAGAGAGAAAGUGUCAUGUAAAGAAUGGAGAACCAGCCAAGAAGUCAGAAACGAAAGCUUUUCUUAUGAGCAUGAAAUAAAGUGAAUGAAUGAGAAAAUACACAAUUCAGCACUGAACGAAGAAAAAUAAUGUAGCAAGUUACUGUUUCCUGUCCUAACAGUAAAAGACCUCAGACCACACAGAUUCAACUCUACCUAACUUGGAUCACAUAAGGCAUAAACAGAUUAAUCUGCAUGGAAAUCCUAAUAUUUGAGCUAUUGCAUAGUUUUGGACCUGACCAGAGCAUGUUUUGUGGCAUCCUACCAAACUGUCGAUUUUUCAUCUUCUUCUGUCAGAUCUGUGCACACAAACACAUAUUUUUGCCACCACCCUUCAUGAAGAAAGAACCCAAUGGGAGGAAACAGUCCACCUCCUCCCUGCUGCCAUCAGACACACAGUCAAGCAGGCAAACCAGAAGGUGAGGACUGAAAUAGAGUGAAGAGUCAAGAUGUGUACAAUCAGAGGACAUAUAUGAUAGUAGUGAUGUUGAUAAGACUGGUUAAAAAUUCUUCACCAAACAGCUUUCACAGUUUCUUACUAGAAAUCUGACUUUUUGACAGUGAAUAUUUUUGUGGGAUUCUCCAUAAAUAUUAAAAAUCAUUUUCUUUUUCUGUCCUCCAAAGAAAAGCUGAACAUUUGCACAGAAGUAAAUCAUAAUUAUCUUUAAUAAUGCUCUGAAACACAUGAGCCUUUGAAGAUUAUCGUAUCUGAACUGGAAUAUCAG
ensembl:lncRNA